rnacentral:lncRNA from 1 species
CACUUAGAUCUAGCAGGUUGAAUAGAACUGGGCAGUUACCAAUGCGCCUAACCAUGGUAAUUGCAGACCAGACCUUUUGGUACUCCUCUCUUGAGGUUCUGAUGAUACAUAGCUUGGUAAUUGGAUUCACAUACUUGACUGCACAUAACCAAGAUUUAAAAGGGUGAGAGAAGAUUUUACAGUGAGGUAAAGGGAAGCUUGCAAGCAGUGGAAAACUUGAACUGGCAACAAAUUACAUACCUUGGAGCGAUCCAAGGGAUGAAGCCAGACCACACUCCCCAAAGUUUACAAGAAUACUGUCUUUAAUCGCUUUUGAAACAUUAUAUUGUGUUAUUAUAAUAGGAUCAUCGACUCCAAGAUCUCGAUUUGGAUCCAAAAAAACUUCCAUUACCAUGUACCUAUUCUUAAAUCCCACCAUGAUCCUUUACCUAGCUUGCAAAGACAAUUUUGCCGGGAUAAAGCAAAUUAGCAUAAAGAAUAUGGUACUUGGCAUAUGUUAUAUGAAACAUGCACGAAAUCUAACAAAUUUUAUCACUGAGAAGGACUUUGUGCACGGUAAAGACUAGUUCACAAGUAAAAGAAUGGGCAAACCUAGCAUUAUUCCAUCUUAACUCCAUAAAAUCUUUGUGAUGAGACUUUUUAUAACAAAUAAUUGUAUCCUCACCUUCAAAAACUUCAGUGUCUCCACUUCAAAUCAACCAGAAAAGAGCACGAGGAAGCAAACCGCUAGGCUUCUGAGUAUAUUUAGAAAAAGCCUUGCAACGCUUUCUAAAUGUGAACCUGAAGAGCUCACAGAACCUAGUGGUAACAAAUACUCACGGCAGUAAGCUCCAUAGGCAAAUGACAACGAAUAAGCAGAUUAUUAACAAUUUCCUAUAAAGUUGGGCACUACUAGAAUUAGGCUUGUGGGGUGGAGUACCUAACAAAAAAUCACUACUUCUGAAUUGAAACCUAGUAAGGAUACUAUAAGGUCCUUAUGAUUCAUCCACUGAUUCUUCGUGACCAACUUGUACUCUUGAACUAAGAUACAAGCUUGGUCAAGGGUAGAUACACCUUGAAAUACAACUUCUCUUCUGAGAUUAUCAUUCAAGCCUUUACAAAAUCUAUACAAAGUCGUGGCUUCAUUCUUUUUUAUGACAUAUCUCAUCAUGUAAUCGUUAAACUGUAUUAUAUACUCAUUGAUAGACUUAUUUCAUUGUCUGAGAUUGUUCCACUGGUCUAAGAGUUUAUUCCUACAAGACUAGGGUAGGUACUUUUUUUUUUCAUGGAAAGACAUUUCCUGAGCACAAAUACACAUGUACACACAAGAACAUAAACCUUCAAAAGCUUUCAAUACAUCUCUGCCCGAAUCAAGAAAAUUACAGCAAUGAAACCAAUUAUUGUAUAUUGUAGUUAUUAAAGAAGUCUUCUAAUGAUCCCUAUCCAUUUAAAUUAAAUAAAAAAUGAAAAUUACAGCAAUGAAACCAAUUAUUGUAUAUUGUAGUUAUUAAAGAAGUCUUCUAAUGAUCCCUAUCCAUUUAAAUUAAAUAAAAAAUAAAAAAUACCACAUUUGAAACUGAAAUGUGAUGGUUAUAGCCAUUACAAAUGAGACAAAGAUUGCUAUCAUCAUACAUUACUUAAAACUAAAUGCUGAAGCCAGAACGAUACAUUCCUGGGCCAAGUUAAAACAACAAUCGAUAGUUCAUUUCCCAUUCACCCAGUCCGCUCAAUAGUUUAUUUCCCAUAUACCCAGUCUGCUCCUUUUCCCCCUUUACACACAUUUGUUCACUUUUCUGCAGUAAAAAUGACUGUUCAACAGGGGACUACCUCAGAAGCCUAAAUUAAUUGUUCAUCAUUAACCUACAUGAAUCUUUAGAAACUAAGUAAUCGAGAUCGACAGCUCUGAUCAGUAUAUAAAAUAAAAUAAAAGGCUAACAUUUUUAUCGGCUGUAAGAACCCUGGAUCAUAGAAAUUCGACAAAAAGAACAAAUAAUACUAGAUUACAAGAUCAAACAAAUGGGUUCAACUAGCAAAUAAAAGAAAAAUAGUGAAGGGAAAAGAUCAUGGAGAAAGAUAAAACAACCAAGACCAAAACCUAAGCCCUAAAAUAAUACAUUACCGAUGAAAUUAAAGAAAAAUGAAUCGCUGAAUCCGUGAAAAAUACCUUGACAAAUAUUGAGAUCAGAGAGAAUGAUAAGGAGCUUUCCGAUUGGUAGUAGUUUCUUCUCGCCGCCUCGCCUCAACUAGCUGCUUCUUUCUUUCUUUUUUUUCCUGUUUGCUUGACCUUCCAAGUUCAACUGAGGCGGCGCAUGCCCAAUUUAACGCUCUCUCUUUCUAGAAUUAUCUUAUAUGUGCGGCUGUAUAUAAAGUGGAGUCGCCACGCGCAGUGAGACGCGUGCUCCUCUCUCUCAGACCUGUCUUGAAUUUAUGAUCACGUACAGUGACAAUCUCUCAGUUUUUCGAUUGAUACAGCGGACUCCUAAACGUGUACCAGCUGAUGUUAUUGAUACCUUACAUAUUUAAGAUAUCUUACAUGUUAUUAAUAAAAUAGUAAGUAGAUGCUGAAGAUGUUGAAAGGUCCUUGUCCCAAUCUUUAUCUACCUCCUCCCGCUACCUAGACGUAUGAGUGUAAGGAUGAUAUGGUUUCCACAAUUUAUUUUGUUGAUUCUUUAGAAUGAUGGAUAUGCAGGCUAGAGAACUAUGAAUUGCUGACAACAUUUCUUACUUUGAAUUGGAACCUCUCUUUUAAUGCAAUUGUCCAGUAUCUUGCAUAUUAUCAGUUAUUUGGAGGUUUUUCAAACCGAUCACACACUGUUAAUAAAUUUGCUGUUGUGAAACAAGUAUACCUUGGAGAUUACCCGAACACCCUUGCUAUUGGAAGCACCGCAGGAACAAUGCAUACCUUCCAAUUUAGAAACGCUCAGAGACCAUUUUCCACGAGCAUAUUGUUCUUUUCAAGUUGCUUUAGAUCUUGUUUUACAACAGCAGAUAAAAAUGGAUAGUCUGUUGGAGAUAUGAGGACUUCAGUUAUUGAGAUUAAUAAACAACCAUCAGGUAUUUUUCGAAACUCAGGAAAGUACAAGUUUCCUUGGGAAGAAGCUCUUAGUGCUAGCAUGUUCUUUCUUAGACGUUUAAUGUUAAGCAAAAACGCCUGAACUUUAGUAUGUUCACAGCAGUAAUAACCAAGCUUCCUGAGGUUGGUGAUGUGGUUAAAAUCUCUUCACUAGGAAGGAAAGCAACAGUUCGGGGAGUGGAUCCAUGCAACAUGAAGUUGAAGUUGAAAUUUACUGAGAUUGGCGUUGAAUGGUGGAAAAUAAGCACACUGCAUGUGCAUCAUGGGUAAGAGCGUUUCUUCUUAGUUCACAGAUUGCUCCCUGCAUGUGGUAAAAACUAUACCAUUACGUCAUUUUUCAGAAACAGUGGAUUAUCUCAGUAUAUCAGUGGUUACACGCAAACACACACACAUAUGCAUGCCUGUAUGUGAUUUAAUACUUGUACCGUGUCGAAUACUAUGAAUUAGCGAAUGCAUUCUAUCUUUAUACAUAGAGAGAGGUACAAGGCAUUAAUAUUCUUGGAAUUGUUAGCAGUGCUGGAAACAGUUGACUAAUGACAGUGCUGGAAACUUUGAAGUCAGUGAGUGCAAUCAAUAUUCUUGGAAUUGUUAACAGCCCACCUGUAAAGUGAAGAGAGUUAAUGAUGUAUUCUUUAUUUCUUCUUCUUUUUUUCCUAUUUGGAUAGCCUUUAAUUACUAUGUGGAUAUUAUUGUUAGCAAUAUAAACAUCAAACUCUUUUUGCUAAAUUAAUUUGUAUGUUUUCUUACGAUAAGCUGUUCAGUUCGUAACAAAACUUGAUGCAUCUAGACUUGGACUGCAAAUUAAUGCUAAGACAUGCAGUUUGCCAAAAGCGGAGAGCGUGCUGAUUUAGAAUAUAACAAUGGCAUAUAAUAAAUCAAUGUGGGAAGCAUGCGCUGGUUGUAAAAUAGUACUGUCCUUCGUCGAAUUUAAAUAUCUGGUUUGAUAAUGGAAGGGCAUCGAAUUUAAAUACACAGAGGCUUGUAGUCUAGCGGUGGUAAAGGGUUUCUUUUACCUCUGCAUCCUGGGUUCAAGUCUCAGCGUGUAUGCCUGUCAUCCCCGCGGUGCCUUACAUGUUCACUGGGUUUGCAGGAUGUUUAAUGAGCCGUGGGAUUAGUCGUAGUACGUGUAAGCUGGCCCGGACACCCACAUAAAUUAAGAAAAAAAAAAGAUUGAACAUUAGUAACAAUGGCGUAUAAUAAAUCAAUGUAGGAAGCAUGCGCUGGUUUUCUUGAUUUGCAAUUGUGGUCAGAGUGCGGCCGACACACAAUGGGAAGGAUGAGGAGUCCUGUCUUGACCUGGCUCCUUGAAAAUUGAUGCAAGAAACGAUCUUUUGGCAUCUACCAGUACUGCACUUUGGAAGAUACCGUCCUUCUAAUAAAAGAACCCACCAACUACAGAGAAUCAGCUGGAAAGUGGAGGUUAGUUCUCCAUUUUCAUGUUGCUCAGCCAACCAAGACUGACAAGCGUGCGUCCCAUUUUCAUAGUGCUCGGGGUUAGUAGAAUAGCCCCAGGGAAAGAAUGGGAUUUAAUUUUACAUGGGAUACGUACGUGUUUGUUUUUGUUCUGCAUAGUUCUAGAGAGGUUAUUCGGCCUUUCCUCUUUUUUUUCUUUCUUUCUUUCUUUUAAUGUGUUGCCGGCCGUUUAUAUUGAAAUAAUAUAUUUUUAUUUUUAAAAAUUUAUUCUUCACAACAACAACAUCAGCAUACAAAACAAUUCAAAAAAUAUAUAUAAUAAUAAUUUGAAGUUAAGAAGUAUUUAAAAAAUUUCAAAGGCCUAAAAUGACAAAUUAAGGCGUACCUCAACAAUCCAACAAACAAGUUGUGGUGGUGCCCGAAAUUCAAGAUUCUACACACAAUAAUAAAAGAGACACUGACCUCCGAAGAUAUGCGAAGGUGGACGUGAAGGGCUUUGUGUCUGAAGAUUGUUGCGUAAACUGAUUCGAUUAUUAUGACUUUUUAUGGUCGAAACAACUAAAAAACAAAGGGGGAACACUUGUUGCGCACACAAGCAUAGUCUGCAAAAUAGCAAUAGAAAACACAGAUACAGCUUCUUCUUCUUUUGGAAAUUGAAACGCAAGGUAAGUUGACUAGGAUCUAUCCAGUAGUUAGAUUAAUUCUAAUGGUACUGUUCAUAGUCAACUUUGGUAUUGAAAAUGAAUUGCAGUUUGUAUCUUUCUGCUGCUGCUGCCUGGAUCCCUAACUUAUUCGUUAUUGUUUUAGUCUGGUACACAUCAAGUAGAAGAAUCAAACUUGACUUUGGGACUCCACGUCCUUGUGGCCGCCAUCGUCGUCCUCGUCGCCAACAGCCCACCCAACUUCCAAGGUGACAUCCAGGAAAUAGAGCAUGGAAACCAGGAAAAAGCAUGACAAAAACAUUGGAAUGGGCCCAAAGAUCCACAAAAAGAGUGGGAACGAGAAAUAAAAGGCACGCAGCCCUAAUGACCAGAAAUAGCUACCCCUGUUCACGGACCUAGCCACAUACUCGGUGCUGAGAUGCUGGUGACGAUGAGUAAGGCACAUCUUCUUGAAGGGCACGUUGAUGAGGAUACUUGCAUGGCUGUAGUACCUGAUUGACUGCACAUUCAGCAAGAAUGCCACCAGGAAGCACACCAGUAUUGAGAAGAACUUGAUAGACAACCCUAACUCACUCCUGUCCCCAAUCACAAAAUUCCUGGCUGAUUUGUCCCCGCUGCCGCUUGUCAUGAGAACGGCAAUAAGGGAGCUGAGCAUGAUGGCUGUUGAUGCCAAGACGGUGGAUGCCAUUAUAUUGUUUCUCAGUGUCUGCACUGCGAGAACUCCAUUCUUGGACACGUCCUGCACCAUUACAAUUAAAUCCUGAUGGUCAGUACUGCUUCAUCCUGAAAAGAUGAUCAAGAAAGAUACCACAAGGAAAAUAAGAAAUGGAUAGGGAUAUAUGUAUAUGUGGAAGUCGACCUCCAUCAUGGCCCGAACCCAGAAGCGGCGAUUGAUAGCAUUGAUGCCAACGACAGUCUUGGUGGGGUGCUUCAUGAUUCGAUAAAGAAGCCAUGUGUGGUAUGCCACCAUCGUAACAAGUCCCAAAGGAACCAGUGUGUAAUCGAGAAUUGUUCUCCCCAUUCAAUCCUUAAUUAAUUUCACUUGAUUUUUUUGAUGCGGGCUGCAGAAUAUAUAGAGAAGGGGGGUAGAAGGAAUCCAAGUGUAACACGGGAGCUUGUAUUGUAUGUGGACUGAGUUAAGAGAGAUAGACUGGGCUGGGCCAGAGAUUUCAAGGGAUAUUUAUACAUGGGUGGACGGGUGGAUGGGUGACACCUGUUGCAUUAUCUUUUAAAUAGUGAUUGAUAGUGCAAGUAGUAGGAUUCUUACGCGGACGCAAACACAAAUUUCCACCUAUGACUUAUAGCUGCCUGCCUUUCGUCUCCCACCCAUCACCCUCUCUAGCAAGCGUGCAUCCCAGUCAUCAGCAAGAGAAUCCCAGCUCCUACAUUGUAAUCUAAGAAAUAUGUAUUUAUUUGAUGUAAGAAUAUUAAGCUAAGGACUUAUAAAUUGUUUGCAUUUCUUUACAUAUGCAAAUAAAAAUAAAUAAAUAAAUAUAUAUAUAUAUAUAGUCAAGAACGGGAUUCCUGGAUCUAGAUCCUUGUCGGCCUUUUGUUCUUGUUAGCUGCCAGUAUAUAAUCCUUGAAGAGCAUUCUCAUUAAGGUUUUCCUUUAACGACCAGCACCAAACAUUUGACUACGCAUCUACAUGACACCAUUGCUUUACUUUUAGGUGUGCGUGUGCGGGCAAUGGUCAUCAGCCCAGCUGAUAAAAAAAAGUCACUUGGCCUGACGCUUAGCAAUCUGGGAUCAAAAUCGCAUCCCCUCUUUUACUCAGGGGAAACUAAAUAAGAGAAAAUUCACUUGGAAAAGAAACAUGGCGUCAGUAAUCACAAAUAAUAACUUGAGGGCAAGUCCAUACUCUCCACCAAGUGUAGAACUGUAUGAAAACUGAAUUCCGUUAAUUUGAACAAUCAGUCAGUACGCAAAUCCUCCUAAUCAUUAUUAGAUGUGGACUCCCAAACAUGUAUCAGCUUUUGCUAAUGAUUGCCAGAUAAAACUUCACCUUCAAAAUGUCAAACGAUAUGGCAGAAGUACACAAUGAAAAAAAAAGGCACAAAGCAGCUGCUUUGAUAAAGGGUGCCCAAGGUCCAGGUACAGAGGAUCUCAAAGGUUCUUCACAGGCACUCACCUGGACAAGUUCCUGAAAUGAUGCUCCCAAACAAAGGGGUCAGCUAGUAUCAUUUCAAACAUCUCAGAUUCAACAACCCCAGAGACAAAGAAAAGCCCAAAGGGAUGGAUCAGAAAUGGCCAGUUUGAAACUGUUCAUGAGUUGUGCAAAACAAAGCAGUGCUCCAUAAUUUGGCAGGCCAGUAGGUUACUACCAACGCAAGGCUCAGUGCUCCAAAAUCUUGAUCUUUUCAAGACAGUUUUGCAUGUGCUGAUUAACAUCAGCAGAGAGAGGUGCUCCAGCUGCAAGUUUGUAGUGCUCAAAUUUCAUUUCAUCACACUUCAAGGCAGCAACUUUACAGGCCUUGAUACUUCCUGGAACAAAAAGAAAAAGCAAAAUUAAAGAGAAAAGCUGAGCAAAAGAUCCAAUGCAAGCAAAGGAAGUAAAAUCAGAAUAAAACAUGUUGGAACAUUGUGAUCAAUUGGAAAUAGUUUAAUUUUGGGAUCAACUGAAAGGUUAUAAUGUUGCAAAAACACCUGAACCUGCAUGGACAUCAAAUUGAUAACAGAUGGCAGGAAGUUUGCGGGUUUAACUAAAUUUUUUUUCCUUUGUUCUAGUUCUCUUCAUUAUCAAUUUGCUAAUGAACAGUUUUCAGCUUACCACUUAGGUCGGUUCAAAAAGGAGAGAGGGGAGAAGAAAAGGAAGAAACUCACCACUUAGAUCUAGCAGGUUGAAUAGCACUGGGCAGUUACCAAUGCGCCUAACCAUGGUAAUUGCAGACCAGACCUUUUGGUACUCCUCUCGUGAGGUUCUGAUGAUACAUAGCUUGGUAAUCGGAUUCACAUACUUGACUGCAAAUAACCCAGAUUUAGAAGGGUGAGAGAAGAUUUUACAGUGAGGUAAAGGGAAGUUUGCAAGCAGCGGAGAACUUGAACUGGCAACAAAUUAUGUACCUUGGAG